CCCCUUUGUAACUUUUUGGUGGGUAAGUUUUAGGGAUCCAUUGACCAAGUCACCUAUGUUUUGGUGUCGGUCCAUCAAAGCUUCUGGUCGAUCGGCCCUAAAUAAUGUAUGAUUUGAAAUUGCGCAUGUCCUAGCGCUAGCCUAGCCUAGCCCUGCACUGGAUCGGGAAACGUACACCUAGCUACCGUAGCUUUUCAGAGACGAUGCUGAAGUAUUCACGUAUUGCUAUCAAAAUUAAAACUACCGUGUACAUAAAGUUCAUACAGUGAUUACUAUUUUGAUCUUAUUAUUGUCAGAAGCCACACGAAAGGAUUUAUAUCUCGACUCUUUUCCACUCCAGCCUCAGUAUCGGACGUGUACGUGGCAGUUCCGCCAGAACUCUGGCCAAGGAAGUGCACCAUAUGCUCAUUUGGACAACUGCUGACGUCGACGAGACUGUCGUAGCUCAAUCAGUAGGACGUGUACGUCGUAGGCCUACCUAGAUCAGAUUCAGAAGGAGGUAGGGCCGGGAGGCGGGAGCGAGAUCCAACGUUAGUACCGUAGCUACAUUUUAUUAUAGCUAGCUAAGGCUAAGUCCGAUUUCUGAGAAUUUGCUGAGUUGCCGAGACCAAGCAAGGUUUUAACGUUAGGGCUUUACUUUAGCCUGAAAAGUUUAAAAAAGUUUAAGCACUAAGUGCCUUAUAAGUCUCUCGUCGAAUAAUUAAACGGAACAACUAACAAGUACACGACACAGGCAGAUUCAAUGUGUCUGGAAAACUGAAAACUUCACAACAAGUUGUAGACACAACACAUGAAUCUUCUUUUAACUGCAUGUACUAGAGGCCUGCUGCUUAGAGUUUAGUGUAAUCAUCAUGGUUGAAUUUAAAGAUCCAAAUUCUCCAAUGGAAGAAGGUUUCGAUAAUCGUGUGUUCAUCGUUCCAGCCAUCAUAAUCAUAGGCCUAAUUGGUUUUGUUGUCUACAAGCUUGCGACAAGUAUCCAUGGCAGGGAGAAGGCAAGGAGGGAUAAGAAACAGAAAAAAAUGGAAUCUCGCAGAAGAUAACAUGAAACAUAAUAAAGUACCACUGCAAACUUCUGGUCACAAUAUGCUAAAUAGCCAUUGACAAAGGUUUAUUAUCCAUGUACAUAUCAAGGUCUGUUGGCCAAUUUUUAAAAAGUGUGAGACUGAAAAUACAUGCAAGGCUUUCAAUCUACACUUUGAUGAUUUUACAAAUGGCUUACUGCCAAUAGUUGUAUUACAUCUGUGUCAAGUCAGUGCAAUGUAGGAUUACAAUGUGAAGAAAGAUCUUUUUGUGUAAAUCCUUUUCUUGAAGAUAAAUUAUAUGUAUGUCAGUGCUGGUGGUCACCAGUUGACUUCUCUUUUAUUUUGAAAUUCAUA